UACGGGGGGGGGCAAGCGUUGUUCGGAAUUACUGGGCGUAAAGGGCUUGUAGGUGGCCAACUAAGUCAGACGUGAAAUCCCGUCGGCUUAACCGGGGAACUGCGUCUGAUACUGGAUGGCUUGAGUGUGGGAGAGGGAUGCGGAAUUCCAGGUGUAGCGGUGAAAUGCGUAGAUAUCAGGAGGAACACCGAUGGCGAAGGCAGGUCUCUGGGCUGACACUGACGCUCGAUGGACAACGAAAGCGUAGGGGAGCAAACAGG
rnacentral:rRNA from 1 species